CCCUUAGAUGUCCUGGGCCGCACGCGUGCUACACUGACGCCUACAGCGAGUACUUCCCAGCCCCGAGAGGUGGCUGGUAAUCAGCAAUAGGCGUCGUGAUGGGGAUAGAUCUUUCGAAUUAUGGAUCUUGAACGAGGAAUGCCUAGUAAGCGCAGGUCAUUAGCCUGCGCUGAUUAAGUCCCUGCCCUUUGUACACACCGCCCGUCGCUCCUACCGAUUUCGAGUGGUCCGGUGAAUCUUUCGGACUGCGCGCGGCCUCGUGCCGUGUCGCGGAAAGUCAGGUAAACCUUAUCACUUAGAGGAAGGAGAAGUCGUANCA
rnacentral:rRNA from 1 species